AUUGAACGCUGGCGGAAUGCUUUACACAUGCAAGUCGAACGGCAGCACGGGGGCAACCCUGGUGGCGAGUGGCGAACGGGUGAGUAAUACAUCGGAACGUGCCCAGUCGUGGGGGAUAACUACGCGAAAGCGUGGCUAAUACCGCAUACGAUCUACGGAUGAAAGCGGGGGACCGCAAGGCCUCGCGCGAUUGGAGCGGCCGAUGGCAGAUUAGGUAGUUGGUGGGGUAAAGGCCUACCAAGCCGACGAUCUGUAGCUGGUCUGAGAGGACGACCAGCCACACUGGGACUGAGACACGGCCCAGACUCCUACGGGAGGCAGCAGUGGGGAAUUUUGGACAAUGGGCGCAAGCCUGAUCCAGCCAUUCCGCGUGCAGGAUGAAGGCCCUCGGGUUGUAAACUGCUUUUGUACGGAACGAAAAGGUGCUCUCUAAUACAGGGCGCUCAUGACGGUACCGUAAGAAUAAGCACCGGCUAACUACGUGCCAGCAGCCGCGGUUAA
rnacentral:rRNA from 1 species